CAUCCUCUUUCUAUGUUUGAGGAUGGCUUACAAAACUUUUUGUAGCUGUUGCAGGUCUUCAAGGGCAAAGUAGAGGAGCAAUGUUCAAAAAUUGAAGAUCUGAGGAACAACAUGUUUCAAGGAUAAAUACUUCAUGUCAUUUUUGCCAUUGUUUGUGAUGUAUGUGUGUACCAUUGUAAUCAUGAAAACUACAUAUGCAGUUAUUCAUACCAACGUGGUCUGGAAUUAACUUUGAAGAAAUACAAAUGAUUAUUCUUGAUUAAU